rnacentral:rRNA from 1 species
GACGAACGCUGGCGGCGUGCUUAACACAUGCAAGUCGAACGGAAAGGCCCCUUUGGGGGUCCUCGAGUGGCGAACGGGUGAGUAACACGUGAGUAACCUGCCCUUGACUUCGGGAUAACUUCAGGAAACUGGGGCUAAUACCGGAUAGGAAUCCUUGCUGCAUGGUGGGGGUUGGAAAGCUUCGGCGGUUUUGGAUGGACUCGCGGCUUAUCAGCUUGUUGGUGGGGUAGUGGCUUACCAAGGCUUUGACGGGUAGCCGGCCUGAGAGGGCGACCGGCCACAUUGGGACUGAGAUACGGCCCAGACUCCUACGGGAGGCAGCAGUGGGGAAUAUUGCACAAUGGGCGGAAGCCUGAUGCAGCAACGCCGCGUGCGGGAUGACGGCCUUCGGGUUGUAAACCGCUUUCAGCAGGGGCGAAGCUUGUGGUGACGGUACCUUCAGAAGAAGCACCGGCUAACUACGUG